GGCUGUAGUGUAGAGUUAGGGCUGUAGUGUAGAGUUAGGGCUGUAGUGUAGAGUUAGGGCUGUAGUGUAGAGUUAGGGCUGUAGUGUAGAGUUACGGCUGUAGUGUAGAGAUACGGCAUUUUAGUCACAUAAAGACUGUUAAACUAGCUGUAGAAGUGCUGUAGAGGUGCUGUAUCUCAGCUGUAGGGGUGCUGUAUCUCAGCUGUAGAAGUGCUGUAGAGGUGCUGUAUCUCAGCUGUAGAGGUGCUGUAGAGGUGCUGUAUCUCAGCUGUAGAGGUGCUGUAUCUCAGCUGUAGAGGUGCUGAGAGGUGAUGUAUCUCAGCUGUCGAGGUGCUGUAACUCAGCUGUAGAGAGGUGCUGUAUCUCAGCUGUAGAGGUGCUGUAUCUCAGCUGUAGAGGUGCUGUAUCUCAGCUGUCGAGGUGCUGUAUCUCAGCUGUAGAGGUGCUGUAUCUCAGCUGUAGAGGUGCUGUAUCUCAGCUGUAGAGGUGCUGUAUCUCAGCUGUAGAGGUGCUGUAUCUCAGCUGUAGAGGUGAUGUAUCUCAGCUGUAGAGAGGUGCUGUAUCUCAGCUGUAGAGGUGCUGUAUCUCAGAUGUAGAGGUGCUGUAUCUCAGCUGUAGAGGUGCUGUAUCUCAGCUGUAGAGGUGCUGUAUCUCAGCUGUAGAGGUGCUGAGAGGUGAUGUAUUUCAGCUGUAGAGGUGCUGUAUCUCAGCUGUAGAGGUGCUGUAUCUCAGCUGUAGAGGUGCUGUAUCUCAGCUGUAGAGGUGCUGUAUCUCAGCUGUAGAGGUGCUGUAUCUCAGCUGUACUGUUGUAAAGUUAUUUAGGGGUAAUGGUCACUAAGCUACUGGGUAGCUAAAUCCAUGUUGACACGAGCAGUUGAGUCCAGUCUGUACUUGUCCAUUUGCGGUCUAGCUGCAGUCGUUGUGGAUGAACUGCAGCUGGGUUAUUGCCGAUCCACAGCAGAGUGGGUAGACAACCAUUAUAGGCCCUUCUUGGUGGGCGCACUGAGUUUCCUCAUCCCUCGUAUCCUCCCUAACAACUCCCUGACAAAGAC
ensembl:lncRNA